UGGCGCACGGGUGAGUAACACGUGGGUAACCUACCUUUAGGUGUGGAAUAACUUGCCGAAAGGCGGGCUAAUACCGCAUAACACCUUUUUUUCUCCGGAAAGGAAGGUCAAAGCUUGCCUCUGUUUACAAGCAAGCGCCUUUAGAUGGGCCCGCGUACCAUUAGCCUGUUGGUGAGGUAACGGCUCACCAAAGCGAAGAUGGUUAGCUGGUCUGAGAGGAUGAUCAGCCACACUGGAACUGAAACACGGUCCAGACUCCUACGGGAGGCAGCAGUGGGGAAUAUUGCGCAAUGGCCGCAAGGCUGACGCAGCAACGCCGCGUGAGUGAUGAAGGCCUUCGGGUCGUAAAUCUCUGUCAGAUGGGAAGAAACGGGUAGGGGCGAAUAGUCUCUACCCCUGACGGUACCGUCGAAGGAAGCACCGGCUAACUACGUGCCAGCAGCCGCGGUAAUACGUAGGGUGCAAGCGUUGUUCGGAAUCAUUGGGCGUAAAGCGCACGCAGGCGGCUUUGUAAGUCGGGUGUGAAAGCCUCGGGCUUAACCCGGGAAGUGCAUCCGAAACUGCAAAGCUCGAGUUCGGGAGAGGAUAGUGGAAUUCCCAGUGUAGAGGUGAAAUUCGUAGAUAUUGGGAGGAAUACCGGUGGCGAAGGCGGCUAUCUGGACCGAAACUGACGCUGAGGUGCGAAGGCGUGGGGAGCAAACAGGAUUAGAUACCCUGGUAGUCCACGCGGUAAACGAUGGGCGCUAGGUGUCGCGGGUAUUGACCCCUGCGGUGCCGAAGCUAACGCAUUAAGCGCCCCGCCUGGGGAGUACGGUCGCAAGAUUAAAACUCAAGGAAUUGACGGGGGCCCGCACAAGCGGUGGGGCAUGUGGUUUAAUUCG
rnacentral:rRNA from 1 species